rnacentral:tRNA from 1 species
CGGGGUGUGGCGCAGUUUGGUAGCGCGCGUGCUUUGGGAGCAUGAGGUCCUCGGUUCAAAUCCGGGCACCCCGA